rnacentral:rRNA from 1 species
GUGCCAGCAGCCGCGGUAAGACGGAGGGUGCAAGCGUUGUUCGGAAUUACUAGGCGUAAAGAGCGUGUAGGUGGUUAGCUAAGUCGGAUGUGAAAAUUCCGAGCUCAACUCGGAACCUGCAUUCGAAACUGGUUAACUUGAGUGUGGGAGAGGAGAGUGGAAUUCCUAGUGUAGCGGUGAAAUGCGUAGAUAUUAGGAAGAACACCAGUGGCGAAGGCGACUCUCUGGCCUAAAACUGACACUGAGACGCGAAAGCGUGGGGAGCGAACAGGAUUAGAUACCCUGGUAGUCCACGCUGUAAACGAUGGGCAUUAGGUGUAGGAGGUAUCCAAUCCUUCUGUGCCGAAGCUAACGCAUUAAAUGCCCCGCCUGGGGAGUACGGUCGCAAGGCUGAAACUCAAAUGAAUUGACGGGG